CAGUAGCCGCGGGAAUACGGAGGGGGCUAGCGUUGUUCGGAAUUACUGGGCGUAAAGCGCACGUAGGCGGACCGGAAAGUCAGAGGUGAAAUCCCAGGGCUCAACCUUGGAACUGCCUUUGAAACUCCUGGUCUUGAGGUCGAGAGAGGUGAGUGGAAUUCCGAGUGUAGAGGUGAAAUUCGUAGAUAUUCGGAGGAACACCAGUGGCGAAGGCGGCUCACUGGCUCGAUACUGACGCUGAGGUGCGAAAGCGUGGGGAGCAAACAGGAUUAGAUACCCCGGUAGUCCCUGUCUCUUAUAC
rnacentral:rRNA from 1 species